rnacentral:rRNA from 1 species
UGAGUAACACGUAUCCAACCUGCCGUCUACUCUUGACAGCCUUCUGAAAGGAAGAUUAAUACAAGAUGGCAUCAUGAGUCCACAUGUUCACAUGAUUAAAGGUAUUCCGGUAGACGAUGGGGAUGCGUUCCAUUAGAUAGUAGGCGGGGUAACGGCCCACCUAGUCUUCGAUGGAUAGGGGUUCUGAGAGGAAGGUCCCCCACAUUGGAACUGAGACACGGUCCAA